ensembl:lncRNA
UCUGUCCUCUGACAGCCACCCAUGAGCAGGGUGCCCUGUGCUCACCUGGGUCGUCUUUGACAAGGAUGUGAAGCCCAUCUGUGGCACACUCACCACCUCUGUGCUGCAAAGCACAGUAGUGCUUGGAAAACCCACCCACCACCCUGUUUCCAGCUGCAUGCUGAGUGUUGACCCAUCUGCCUACCUAUGGGAUUGACUAGUAAAAUGGGAAAAACUGGCAGUGCUGCUGCGGCCAGGGUUCUCACCCCAGGUUCAACGGAGGCCACUGAAACAUGGCUUGGCACAGGAAAAACUGAGAAGCAGAAUUUCUAGCUGGGCAGACCGUCUCAUUCAAGCAACUUUGGGCUUUCCCUUGCUCUUCGUGAAGGUGCACAGCAUGUUGUGGCAAGAUGUGAGGUGGAAGAAUGCAUUCAAAGCUGGAAGCAGAGGCAAUAAUCACAAUGGUGAAGUAGCAACCAAGCUUUUUGUGGGACUUUUAAUUUCUUCUCCCAAGGAGGACUCUGCCACACAUUGGAUGGGGAAGCUGGAAGCUGGGACACAAAGUGAACAUUGGCUACCUCUUCAUGCCUCUGGGGCUGGAGCGAACUUAGAGGGAGGCCCUGAAGAUAUGUUCCAGAGGACCCACAGCAUUGUGUGUUAUGGUCCUUUCUCCUCUCCCAGCUCCUCCAUAUGAAACUGGAGAGUGAGCCAUCAGGGGAUGGAAAAAUAUAAAUAUACAGGGUUUAGAGGCCGAUGUAAUGGUUGUGUGUGGUAAGGAACAAUGCAACUGAAGACGGGGAGAUCUUCCCAAAAUCCUUGCAAGGAGAUCCAUCAGAAGACCAGACUUGCCAUGAAAGUGAAAAGCAGUGUGCAAGGCCUGCAAGUCCCUGGUCCCGUGAUUUUUACUUCUGAUUUUGCAGGUACCUAUUGCUGCACAGCAAUCCCUGUGCUAACGGUGUUUCUUGCUGAGCAUCCUCAAAAGCAAAACCCCUACAACUGCCAGCCUCUAGCAAUGCUUCCACUUGUCCCAAAUUUCUGCUGAGUGACCCAUGGAAGCUGCCAAGGCUCCAGCCCAGAGACAGCCACCCUUCAUAGGGAAGAUGAGAUCUGGUUUCAUCAAUAAUUGUGGAACCAUUUGGGACAAAUGAUAGAAAUAUAAUUAUUCCUUUUAUUCUGGGGAAGACUUCCCAAACCUCCUCACUUAUCCAGUCCAAAUUCAACUCCACUUCUGCCUGUCAAUCAGCACUAGGCUCCUGCUGACAGUGGGGUGACAGGGCUUGCCCACUUUCAACACUCAAGUUAAAAAAGAAAAUUAGACGCUUUAAAAAGAAAAAAUAUCCAAAGAAUAAGACAAAGCACCCAGUAGUCCCUGUUGGAGAUUGUUUCUGAAUGUUAUGAUGUUGUAUGUUAUGCUUUUUUGCUGUUAUGAAUUGCUUUUGAAGGUGUUUGUUUGCCUGCAUAAUGACAGAAGAACCUUCCUCUAACAAUGCUCCAGAAAAAAAACACUUUUUGCCAAGUUUGGGGUGCUGUGGAGGGCAGCCAUGCUGGAAUUGUGAUUAAGUGUUUUGGGCCAUGCCUUUCACUGCAGCCUGCCAGAUAAAUAUUUACAGCUGACCAUGGAGAAGCAGCAGGGGUGAAGGAGAGGAGAGACAUCUGUAAAUUCUUUGG